UAGCAAAAACAAAAACAAAAACUCUCCAAAAAUAUAUAUAUAUUUAUUACAGAAACAUACAAAGUUCCAAGACCCAGCACUUGCAUCAGAGACAGCCGCUGCUAUCGAUUUCUCCUGUGCACUGGUGAGGGCUCUGUAGCUCUACAUACUUCUUCCGCAGGCCUCUGCGCGGAGCGCGUGCCGACGUGGUGAACGUCCCUGCAGCCCGCUGGACUUCCUGUCGCAGUGUGGCCAGCACCAGCUUCACAGAGUGACCUACAGAAAGGGCAAGGACUCUUCCUACGCUUGGGGACAGUGGCCUUAGGACAGGAAGCAGAGAGGCUCUGGCAGAUGCAAUGAGCCCAUUUUCCAGAAAAGGCAAGAACUACAGAGACGGUGCUGCUGAGGCCCGACCGUGUUGAGCCCAGCUGCGGGUCUGAGAGGUUGUGCCUGUUAAGGGAGAGUGCCAGCUCAUCGUGCGGCCUGGGGUAAGGGCACUGUAGGAGCUGCUGUUUCUCUAAUGCAUGCCUCCCAUUCGAGAUCAGUGAUGAGACUGCAGGCUGCUGAGAGGACGGGCACCUAACAGCGAGCGACAGGUGAGAGAAGCAUACCCUGAUACUGCGGCCCGUCUGCCGUCGUCUGUGAAGGAAGGCUGUGUCACCCUCGUACCAGAUAUCCGUGUGGCUGUUUAUGCUACACAGUUCUGAAGGCCUGGAAAUACAGCAGCACACAAGAAGGAAUACCAUGCAUAUCAGUCAAGACAUUACUAU